CUCUGAGCCAAACUUUGAAGAAUGUUUAUUAACGAGUGUCCAUGGGAUCCACAGCUGUCCCGAACUGUAGACCUUAGCCAUGGACUCAGGACAAUUCCUGUGGUAGGAAUCUUGUGGCUUGACACCAGAAGAAACGAUUUUGCAGAUGCUUUAAGAGGACAUGCCCAAUAUGACUCCGUUUUGGGUGUAGUUACUGCACAGAACUCCAGAUGUCAAAACAGAUUUGUGUUGUGUUUCUAUGCUAAUACAUCUCUGCAGG
rnacentral:lncRNA from 1 species